UUUCCGUAGGUGAACCUGCGGAAGGAUCAUUAUUGUAUAACCGAGGUGCGAGGGCUGUCGCUGACCCGACGGGUCGUGCACGCCCGAGUGCCCUCACACACAUCCAUCUCACCCCUAUGUGCACCACCGCGUGGCUCCCCCUUUGGCUUGUUCGGAGGGGGGCUUACGUUUUCACACAAACUUUGUAUGCAGUGUAGAAUGUAUUUUUUGUUUUUGCGAUCACGCAAUCAAUACAACUUUCAACAACGGAUCUCUUGGCUCUC
rnacentral:misc_RNA from 1 species